UGAAUCAGUAUUAAAUGAAAUAUCACCUGUAAAAAAAUGAAAAUUUCACUAAAGAUACAAAUUUUGCUUACGGUUCUCGCAAUUUGUGUAGUUGUAGAAGGAUUCAGGCAUGAAUUAAUAUACAAGGGACAUCAAACGAAGCCAAAGAAGGAAAAGAAACCACAGAGCGAAAAACGUGAAUUUCCUUCAUAUAAAAAUGAUACUCAAGUGAUGUCUCUAUCGCCGAAUAUGUCGCAGUUUCGCUAUUCAACACUUUUGGAGGAUUGUCGCGGCUUUUUACGAGAAUGUCGAUUAGCUGAACAUUGUUGCAGUUUAAAGUGUUUAAAGCUCUCGAAAUUCUGUAUAUAUUAAGAGCAUAUAUUAUAUAUUUUGAUAAAUGUUUCUUAAAUAAAUUUAAAUGUAUAAUGAAGUAA